GUAGGUGGCAAGCGUUGUCCGGAUUUAUUGGGCGUAAAGCGAACGCAGGCGGGAAAACAAGUCAGCUGUGAAAGCCCUCGGCUUAACCGAGGAACGGCAACUGAAACUGUUUUUCUUGAGUGCAGAAGAGGAGAGUGGAACUCCAUGUGUAGCGGUGAAAUGCGUAGAUAUAUGGAAGAACACCAGAGGCGAAGGCGGCUCUCUGGUCUGUAACUGACGCUGAGGUUCGAAAGCAUGGGUAGCGAACAGGAUUAGAUACCCUGGUAGUCCAUGCCGUAAACGAUGAGUGCUAAGUGUUGGGAGGUUUCCGCCUCUCAGUGCCGCAGCUAACGCAUUAAGCACUCCGCCUGGGGAGUACGACCGCAAGGUUA
rnacentral:rRNA from 1 species